rnacentral:rRNA from 1 species
GACGAACGCUGGCGGCGUGCCUAAUACAUGCAAGUCGAGCGGACUAAUGGGAGCUUGCUCCCGUUAGUUAGCGGCGGACGGGUGAGUAACACGUGGGCAACCUACCUGUAAGACUGGGAUAACUUCGGGAAACCGGAGCUAAUACAGGAUGACAUAAAGGAACUCCUGUUCCUUUAUUGAAAGAUGGCCUCGGCUAUCACUUACACUUGGGCCAACUGCGCAUUAGCUAGUUGGUGAGGUAACGGCUCACCAAGGCGACGAGUCGUAGCCGACCUGAGAGGGGGAUCGGCCACACUGGGACUGAGACACGGCCCAGGCUCCUACGGGAGGCAGCAGUAGGGAAUCUUCGGCAAUGGACGAAAGGCUGACCGAGCAACGCCGCGUGAGGGAGGAAGGCCUUAUGGUCGUAAAGCUCUGUUGUCAGAGAAGAACAAGUACCGGAGUAACUGCCGGUACCUGGACGGUACCUGACCAGAAAGCCACGGCUAACUACGUGCCAGCCGCCGCCGUAAGAC